GUCCCUGUGGCUCAGUUGGUAGAGCAUGGUGUGUGCAACGCCAGGGUUGUGGGUUCAAUUCCCACGGGGGGCC
rnacentral:tRNA from 1 species